rnacentral:rRNA from 1 species
CCUACGGGAGGCUGCAGUAGGGAAUAUUGCUCAAUGGACGAAACUCUGAAGCAGCAACGCCGCGUGGAGGAUGACGGUUUUAUGAUUGUUAACUCCUUUUGUUAGGGGAGUUUAUGACGGUAUGUAUCGCAUUAGGACCGGCUAACUCCGUGCCAGCAGCCGCGGUACUACGGAGGGUGCAAGCGUUACUCGGAAUCACUGGGCGUAAAGAGUGCGUAGGCGGGGUAAUAAGUCAGAUGUGAAAUCCUGUAGCUUAACUACAGAACUGCAGUUGAAACUGUUACUCUGGAGUGUAGUAGAGGUAGGUGGAAUUCAUGGUGUAGGGGUAAAAUGCUUAGAGAUCAAGAAGAACACUGAUUGCGAAGGCAACCUACUGGAACAUUACUGACGCUGAGGCACGAAAGCGUGGGGAGCAAACAGGAUUAGAUACCCGAGUAGUC